rnacentral:rRNA from 1 species
UACCUACGGGGGGCAGCAGUGGGGAAUAUUGCACAAUGGGGGAAACCCUGAUGCAGCAACGCCGCGUGAGUGAAGAAGUCAUUCGUGAUGUAAAGCUCUAUCAGCAGGGAAGAAAAUGACGGUACCUGAGUAAGAAGCCCCGGCUAACUACGUGCCAGCAGCCGCGGUAAUACGUAGGUGGCAAGCGUUGUCCGGAUUUACUGGGUGUAAAGGGCGUGUAGCCGGGCCGGCAAGUCAGAUGUGAAAUCCCAAGGCUCAACCUUGGAACUGCAUUUGAAACUGUUGGUCUUGAGUAUCGGAGAGGC